rnacentral:rRNA from 1 species
GACGAACGCUGGCGGCGUGCUUAACACAUGCAAGUCGAACGGAAAGGCCCUGCUUUUGUGGGGUGCUCGAGUGGCGAACGGGUGAGUAACACGUGAGUAACCUGCCCUUGACUUUGGGAUAACUUCAGGAAACUGGGGCUAAUACCGGAUAGGAGCUCCUGCUGCAUGGUGGGGGUUGGAAAGUUUCGGCGGUUGGGGAUGGACUCGCGGCUUAUCAGCUUGUUGGUGGGGUAGCGGCUUACCAAGGCUUUGACGGGUAGCCGGCCUGAGAGGGUGACCGGCCACAUUGGGACUGAGAUACGGCCCAGACUCCUACGGGAGGCAGCAGUGGGGAAUAUUGCACAAUGGGCGGAAGCCUGAUGCAGCAACGCCGCGUGCGGGAUGAAGGCCUUCGGGUUGCAAACCGCUUUCGCCUGUGACGAAGCGUGAGUGACGGUAAUGGGUAAAGAAGCACCGGCUAACUACGUG